AUUGAACGCUGGCGGCAGGCUUAACACAUGCAAGUCGAGCGAGCGGCGGACGGGUGAGUAAUGCUUAGGAAUAUGCCUAUUAGUGGGGGACAACAUCUCGAAAGGGAUGCUAAUACCGCAUACCAUCAGAUGUGCCCAGAUGGGAUUAGCUAGUAGUGGGGGUAACGGCUUACCUAGGCGACGAUCCCUAGCUGGUCUGAGAGGAUGACCAGCCAAACUGGAACUGAGACACGGUCCAGACUCCUACGGGGGGCAGCAGUGGGGAAUAUUGCACAAUGGGCGAAAGCCUGAUGCAGCCAUGCCGCGUGUGUUAAGAAGGCCUUCGGGUUGUAAAGUACUUUCAGCAGGGAGGCGUUACUCGCAGAAGAAGCAACGGCUAACUCCGUGCCAGCCGCCGCGGUAAUAC
rnacentral:rRNA from 1 species